UACAGAGGGGGCAAGCGUUAUUCGGAAUUAUUGGGCGUAAAGGGCGCGUAGGCGGCUUGGCAAGUGGAAGGUGAAAUCCCUCGGCUUAACCGAGGAACUGCCCUCCAAACUGCUUCGCUUGAGACCGGGAGAGGUGAGUGGAAUUCCCAGUGUAGCGGUGAAAUGCGUAGAUAUCUGGAGGAACACCGGUGGCGAAGGCGGCAUCCUGGACCGGCAUUGACGCUGAGGAGCGAAAGCCAGGGGAGCAAACGGG
rnacentral:rRNA from 1 species